rnacentral:rRNA from 1 species
UACGUAGGGUGCAAGCGUUAAUCGGAAUUACUGGGCGUAAAGCGUGCGCAGGCGGUUUUGUAAGUCUGUUGUGAAAUCCCCGGGCUCAACCUGGGAAUGGCAAUGGAUACUGGCAAGCUAGAGUGUGAUAGAGGAUGGUGGAAUUCCCGGUGUAGCGGUGAAAUGCGUAGAGAUCGGGAGGAACAUCAGUGGCGAAGGCGGCCAUCUGGAUCAACACUGACGCUGAGGCACGAAAGCGUGGGGAGCAAACAGG